UAAAUCUUUGCAAAUCAGACAGGAUUCUUCUAUCCACCUGGGAAGCCACACUAUGGACACUAGGCACAGGCAGGGCCUGCCGGGGUCAUGGGGCCCAAUAACUGGAGCUCCCCCUUGUUGAACGCCUACCACUGGCCAGGCCCUUUCCAUACUUCUCCUCUAAUUCAAACAAUGAGCCUGCAGGGGAGGCAUUUCCACUCCUACUUCCCAAGGAGGAAGCCGAGGCCCACGGGGGCAGGGCUGGGUGAUCUGUUCGAGGCUGCCCCACCCAUAGGGCCCGAACUGCAGGCUGACUUGGGUCUCGCUGAACGUUGUUGAAGGACUGUCCUACAGGCCCAGGGAGCCAAGCCUGGGCUGGGGAAUCAGAGCUACGGUCUUCCAGGAGACCAGUAGGUUCCACACCCAGCACGGAGCCCAACUGUGGGGCCUGAACUCACGACCCUGAGAUCAAGACCUGAGCUGAGAUUAAGAGGUGGAAGCUCCAUGGACUGAGCCACCCAGGUGCCCCUCAUAUAAAGCCACUUUCUGACCAGAAUGGAGCAAGACAAAAACAAGGCCACUCUGUAGUCACGUCUGAACACAGAUAAAACAGAAACAUUGUUCAAAGCACAAAAAUGACCAGACGGCAGCCUUUCCUGGCCAAAUUGAGUACCUGUUGCUUCUUCACCAAGGACAAUUUUAGCCCUGUUUUGUCCCUCCUGCCUUCUGGGUGAGAAUUAGCUCACCUCCUAAGCACAUCCUACCAGAGCCGAACCCUGUGUCCUUGAAACCUCCCCCGAAUCACCUAACUUGAGCCGAAUCCUUUCUGUCCUUUCCAACACACCCUUCCUGAUGCCUCCCCCCCACCCCACCCCUUGGCCCCAACGAAUCAAUAAACCCAACUCAGUUUGAUUA